UUUAUAGCUCAUCUUCUUCCUCGCCGUU
rnacentral:sRNA from 1 species